rnacentral:tRNA from 1 species
GCCGAUGUGGUGGCGCCGCGCCUGUCUAGUAAACAGGAGAUCCUGGGUUCGAAUCCCAGCGGUGCCU